GGGAUAAAAAUUACUUUGCUGUAAGCGUCAAUUCAUUAUAAGAAUUAAUGUUCGCAAUAACCGUGCUUUACUGUAUGCUAUAUGAUAUUUGUAUUUUGCUUCCUUCAGUUUAUUUUUAUAAUACACAUUGUAUUUCCAGCUAUAUAUUGUCUUCUGUGGUUCAGUGUUAGCUGUGGUAUAUUGAAAAUUUACACACAUUUGUGUAUUUUGAUUAUGAGAGAAAUUUGUUUUCUGAAGGGCAUCUCUUUGUUUGAUGUUUAAACUAUAAUGUUUAAAUCUGUUCUUUUAGUUUGUGAUUUUGUGUAAGUUUAUAGGGUUCAGUCUUAGUUAUGGUAAUUAGUUGUAUUGAAAUUUGAGUUAUUUGAUUAUGAAUGAAAUUUUGUUUUUGAAAGGCAAUUUUGUGUUUAAAAGUUAAAGCUUUAAUUGUUUGUGUGUAAGCUUUAUUAAUUUUUGUACACAAGUGUCUGUGGGAUAUUAAUAUAAUAAUUUCAAAAUAUUGCAAAUAAACCCAAAUUAUCAA
rnacentral:sRNA from 1 species